CAUACAUACACACUGUGUGUCAAGGUGUGUGUAUGUGCCACUGUGUUUGUGUAUAUAUAUAUCUGUGUGUCAGAUAUACACACCUUGACACACACUGACACGUACAAAAAAAGGCACAAUUUUGUCGAUACACUGUCCAAGGGUACCAUGGGAAAAAUUAAUUGGUAUUCCCUGCCCUAAGAUCUCUUUUGAGCUAUGCAACUGAUACUGGCAAUUCUAUAUUAGGCUGCACGGUCCUGGGCAUAUUAUAUAUUUUCGGAUCCUUAGCCCGAUUGGUUUGAAGGAUGAUUCACCUUGUG